UACGUAGGGGGCAAGCGUUGUCCGGAUUUAUUGGGCGUAAAGAGCGUGUAGGCGGCUAGGUAGGUCCGUUGUGAAAACUCGAGGCUCAACCUCGAGACGUCGAUGGAAACCAUCUAGCUAGAGUCCGGAAGAGGAGAGUGGAAUUCCUGGUGUAGCGGUGGAAUGCGCAGAUAUCAGGAAGAACACCAACGGCGAAGGCAGCUCGCUAGGACGGUACUGACGCUGAGACGCGAAAGCGUGGGGAGCGAACAGG
rnacentral:rRNA from 1 species